rnacentral:rRNA from 1 species
AAUACGCGACGCUUUGUGCGCAUUUUCGCUAUUAUGUGUAAAUUUUUCGAAACAGACUCUCUUUGAAUCUAUCAAAAUCCCCUCGAAAUCGCGAAGCGAUGUUGGAGAUUAAAAAGAAUCAGUUUAAUAAAAGCAAACACAUAAUAGCGAAAAUGCGCAGUGCGAAUACUACCGCAUGGAAUAACAAAAUUGAACAGUCCCCUUUUUGUUCUCCUUUCUUAUUUUGAGGUAAUACAAUAAAGAAAAGAGGCUCGGGGAAUAUCGUACCCACACAACAGGAAAUAUUCUAACUUCCCAUACAAUUCCUACCCAUUAACAUUAACCUCCAUAACAACCCAAC